UACAGAGGUCUCAAGCGUUGUUCGGAUUCAUUGGGCGUAAAGGGUGUGUAGGUGGCGCGCUAAGUCGGAUGUGAAAUCUCCGAGCUCAACUCGGAAACUGCAUUGGAAACUACCUUGCUCGAGGGUUGGAGGGGGGGACUGGAAUGCUUGGUGUAGCAGUGAAAUGCGUAGAUAUCAAGCGGAACACCAGUGGCGAAGGCGAGUCCCUGGACAACUCCUGACACUGAUGCACGAAAGCUAGGGGAGCAAACAGG
rnacentral:rRNA from 1 species